GACGAACGCUGGCGGCGUGCUUAACACAUGCAAGUCGAACGGAAAGGCCCUGCUUUUGUGGGGUGCUCGAGUGGCGAACGGGUGAGUAACACGUGAGUAACCUGCCCUUGACUUUGUGAUAACUUCAGGAAACUGGGGCUAAUACCGGAUAGGAUCUCCUGCUGCAUUGUGGUGUUUGGAAAGUUUCGGCGGUUGGGGAUUGACUCGCGGCUUAUCAGCUUGUUGGUUGGUUAGUGUCUUACCAAGGCUUUGACGGGUAGCCGGCCUGUGAGGGUGAACGGAGAAAUUGGGACUGAGAUAAGGCCCAGAAUCAUACGGGAGGCAGCAGGGGGGAAUAGUGCAAAAUGGGCGGAAGCCGGAUGCAGAAAAGCCGCGUGCGGGAUGAAGGCCUUCGGGUUGUAAACAGAUUUCGACUGUGACGAAGCGUGAGUGACGGUAAUGGGUAAAGAAGCACCGGCUAACUACGUG
rnacentral:rRNA from 1 species